rnacentral:rRNA from 1 species
CAGAAGAAGCGCCGGCUAACUACGUGCCAGCAGCCGCGGUAAUACGUAGGGCGCGAGCGUUGUCCGGAAUUAUUGGGCGUAAAGAGCUCGUAGGCGGCUUGUCACGUCGGUUGUGAAAGCCCGGGAGCUUAACCCUGAGUCUGCAGUCGAUACGGGCAGGCUAGAGUUCGGUAGGGGAGAUCGGAAUUCCUGGUGUAGCGGUGAAAUGCGCAGAUAUCAGGAGGAACACCGGUGGCGAAGGCGGAUCUCUGGGCCGAUACUGACGCUGAGGAGCGAAAGCGUGGGGAGCGAACAGGAUUAGAUACCCUGGUAGUCCACGCCGUAAACGGUGGGCAUUAGGUGUGGGCAACAUUCCACGUUGUCGGUGCGGCAGCUAACGCAUUAAGUGCCCCGCCUGGGGAGUACGGCCGCAAGGUUAAAAUUCAAAGGAAUUGACGGGGGCCCGCCCAAGCGGCGGAGCAUGUGGCUUAAUUCGACGCAACGGGAAGACCCUUACCAAGGCUUGACAUACCCCGGAAACCUUUGGAGAUAGUCCCCCCCUUGUGGUCGGUGUACAGGUGGUGCAUGGCUGUCGUCAGUUCGUGUCGUGAGAUGUUGGGUUAAGUCCCGCAACGAGCGCAACCCUUGUCCCGUGUUGCCAGCAGGCCCUUGUGGUGAUGGGGACUCACGGGAGACCGCCGGGGUCAACUCGGAGGAAGGUGGGGACGACGUCAAGUCAUCAUGCCCCUUAUGUCUUGGGCUGCACACGUGCUACAAUGGCCGGUACAAUGAGCUGCGAUACCGCGAGGUGGAGCGAAUCUCAAAAAGCCGGUCUCAGUUCGGAUUGGGGUCUGCAACUCGACCCCAUGAAGUCGGAGUCGCUAGUAAUCGCAGAUCAGCAUUGCUGCGGUGAAUACGUUCCCGGGCCUUGUACACACCGCCCGUCACGUCACGAAAGUCGGUAACACCCGAAGCCGGUGGCCCAACCCCUUGUGGGAGGGAGCUGUCGAAGGUGGGACUGGCGAUUGGGACGAAGUCGUAACAAGAGCCUGCCCAG